AAAGUUGUUGCAGUUAAAAAGCUCGUAGUUGAAUUUCGGGAUUGACGCGACGGUCGUGCCUUAAGGGGCGUGAACUGUCGCCGUUGAUUUCUCACCUUCUGGAGAAGCUCGAUGUCCUUAAUUGGAUGUCUUGUGGAACCAGGACCUUUACCUUGAAAAAAUUAGAGUGUUUAAAGCAGGCAUUUUGCUCGAAUACAUUAGCAUGGAAUAAUAGAAUAGGACGGCAUGGUUCUAUUUUGUUGGUUUCUAGGAUCACCGUAAUGAUUAAUAGGGAUAGUUGGGGGCAUUAGUAUUCAAUUGUCAGAGGUGAAAUUCUUGGAUUUAUUGAAGACUAACUACUGCGAAAGCAUUUGCCAAGGAUGUUUUCAUUAAUCAAGAACGAAAGUUAGGGGAUCGAAGACGAUCAGAUACCGUCGUAGUCUUAACCAUAAACUAUGCCGACUAGGAAUCAGACGAUGUUAAUUUUUUAAUGACUCGUUCGGCACCUU
rnacentral:rRNA from 1 species